rnacentral:rRNA from 1 species
UACGUAGGGAGCAAGCGUUGUCCGGAAUCAUUGGGCGUAAAGCGCGCGUAGGCGGCCCUGUAAGUCCGUUGUGAAAGUCAAAGGCUCAACCUUUGAAAGCCGAUGGAUACUGCAGGGCUAGAGUCCGGAAGAGGCGAGUGGAAUUCCUGGUGUAGCGGUGGAAUGCGCAGAUAUCAGGAGGAACACCCGUGGCGAAGGCGGGUCUCUGGGCCGUAACUGACGCUGAGGAGCGAAAGCGUGGGGAGCGAACAGG